rnacentral:sRNA from 1 species
GCAUCGACUAUUGUAAUAUAUAUUGUCACUCAGGGAAUGAUGUGCUAUCCACGAUUUUUCGGAUUUUUUUGUAUUAUUUCAUUUAAAUAUAAUUUUUAUUUAUCAAAUUAUUCACUCAUACAAUAAAUAAUUACUUUUAGAAUUAAAAAUAUUUUUUUCUAACAACAUUCUCAACAAUGCAUCAUACACAUAAUUUAUAAACAAUAUCUGUCUUAAACCAAUUUAAUAGAGGGUAGUGUUGGAUUCUAGAAACUUAAGAAUUUGAUGAUAAAGCUCCUUACGUAUUCUUCACUAUCAGUGAUUUAUUAUAUGAAUAU